rnacentral:rRNA from 1 species
GGGUGCAAUCGCCUUAUUGUCAACUCGGAUAAUUUGGAAGUGAUUGACACAAUGAAAAAUGGAGGACAAUUGGCGGGAGUGGCGGCGGCAGUGUUCGAUGGUUGCUAUUUUAUGUCUUGUGAAUUUACUGUUACGAGGUUUGAACAUUGUAAUAGGGAAGCAAAUAAGGUUGCUCAUGAAAUUGCUAGGCUAGCAAAAAAAUUCCAUAAUUGGGAUUGGUAUGAGGAGCCUAUGGAUGACAUUGUAUAUUUCCUUAUUGACGAUGUAACUGUUAUAUCUAAUGAAUAA